GCGCGGAGCGGCGGGGAGUCUCCCGAGAAGCCCCAGGAGGCCGGAGCCAGCCCGAGGAGACUCGGCGGGGCCCGGGGACGAGCUGUAAGGCGGCCGGGAUGGGCCAAACCGGGCCGUCCGUAAAACCCCGGCGCCCUCUACCGGUCCCGCCGCCUCCCUGCAGGCAGCCCGAGGCGGAGAGCGCGGGAACCGCCAGCGACCCCCCGGCCGACGCUCGCGCCCUGCCCCGCAGCCGCCCCACUGCGCGCUCACUGCUGCAUCGCCCCUGCCCUGGGGCUAGUUACCCCCUUACUAAGCAUUGACCUUCCCCUGCCCGCGCCUAGCGAGGACCUAUGUCCCCGCUGCGGCCCCUGCCAUCGCACGCCCCUGCCGUAGUGCUGUGGGCACCGUUUGUUUGGGCGGGGGGCGGCUGCUUUAAGAGGCUCAGCUAAGCUGUCUGCCACUGUACUUAACAUAUUAGGCAACAGAUUUGUACACGGACUACGGCCCCAUCCUGCAAAGACUACACAGGUGCUUAACUUAAUGCACUGUGACUAGCCCUACUGAAGUCAAAUUAAGCUCUCACAGGAUCAGAGCCUGAAGGUGGAAAGAUAUUUACAUAUGGAAUAGGCCUCUUUUAAACUUAAAAAGACAGUAAUGGUUCUUCUGAUUUGCAAUAUAAAAAGUGCAGCAAUCUGCAUGGAACUUGGAAGGAGGAGCACAAGUUGCAGAAGGGAAAAGUUUGGAGGAGGAAUUGCAAUAUGAAGGGACAAGAGAAACUCCAAUUUGGGGCUUACAGAUCUGGUAGCAGAGACUACAGGUUCAGUUUUGAAGGUUCCCCUAGACUGUUGAUCCUGCGAGCUUUGGUAUAGCUCGAUGGAUAACUCCUCAGAGUCAGGGAGAAAGCGAGCUGCACCUGCCUGGGGAUCAGAGGGAGAAACUACUACAGACACUCCUGACUAUGUCAACCCUCCUGAAAUGUGUGAGAGGCUGUGGCCUGCCUCAGUAAAUUCUCAGUGUGUCUAUAACAUUUUGUUACCAUUUAAAACAAGAGCACCAAGAACAACCCUCCAAGUUUAGCAAUGACAACAUAACCUCUUAGUUGGAGGGAACAUCACUCACUUCCUGAAACACUCUGUAGUUUCUCAUGGACUUCUAGAAACUGGAUACAGCCACGAGCAGCUAAAGCUUGCCUGCUUUACACCAGCAGCUCUGCCUAUGCGCUCCCCUUUCCUGUGAGCUCCCUACCCCCAACCUCUCAAUAUAAAGUACACUUCUCCACAUGCCAAUGUGGGGCACUUGCAAGUGUGAUGGCCAGCACCAGGGAUUGAAGCUACGAUUUCCAAAGCUAAAAGUCAUUAUAGCUUGUGCUAAAGAGUCUGGGUCUCAAGCAGAGAGCUAGCUCAGACUUGUAUAUAGCCUCUGUGUAUUAGGUACAAAGGGGAAUACAACUUACAUUGAACAGUGGCUUAAACAAGCAAAAUCUGUGACAAUGAGUGAAAUGUGUAUUUUGGUGUUUCACAGAUUUCUCAUAGUUUUUAAGUAAAAACCUGUUUUAAAGUGAUCUCACUGUACGAAUCAUAUACAACUAUACCAUCUUUCCACACAGAUCAGCAGCAGGAUCUGAAGCCUUUGACCUUCAUAUCCUUAGCUUAGAUCCUUAUUAUUUUUGAGAUACGGAAGUAUUUGCUGGUAAACCAGCCACUGGAGGAGGACUUGAUACAUAUGUGUAACUCACUGUUAAAAACUAUUUACUAGUCAGUAGUAGAAUAUCGGUGACAGGAAUCCUAAAUACUACUCCUGGCUGUGGGAGUGGAGGGUGGUUUUAUAGACCUGGUCUACAUUACAAACUUAGGUCAACAGAAGCCACCUUACAUUGACCUAAUAAUAUAUGUGUCUAUUAGGUCCCUUCCACCGACAUAACUCGCCUGUUACAUCGACUUAAUUACUCCACCUUUUUACCCACACAAUCUACAGCACUCUGCCUGUAUACCCUACCAAGAAUUGAAGGCAUAACCAGGCUAAUUUAGGCACCCUCUUCCAAGGGCUCAGAGCAUAAGGCACCCACCCUGAUCCACAAAGCUUGGGGAGAAACCUGGUCAAUUUUAAGUACCCAACCCUGCCCAUGGGGCUCAAGACUCUGCGGGACCUUUUCCCAGUGAAAGAGCCUUACGCAGCUGUGCUCUAAACAUCUAUUUAUGAGCAAUACACAUGUCAAGCUAAUCUAUUAUGCUCACCACUCCCAAUAUACAGACACAUUUCACCUGAUAGCCAGUCAGGAUCCACACAUCUUACACAGAGGAGUAAGAAUUCUAGCAGCUGAUGUUGAACUGCAAUUCAGAGAUGGUUCCCAAAGAAUAUUGUUUUUCAUUUACAUUAUACAGGUAAAGCUAGCUACCUCCUUCAAAUUUACUAAACCUAUCAGAUUAUCCCACACCCCUAAGUAACAACAAAAUGUAACCAAUUACACACUGACUCCUAUGUAUCCUCCUU